AAGAAAGAAAGACAUUUACCUGGAUAGUAGCUCAGCAAUAGAGUACCUCCCCAGCCCUUGAGAGGCCCUGGGUUCAAUUCCCAUCAGAGUAAAAAAAGAAGAAAAAAAAAAGUCAGAGGAAAUCACUAUUAAUUUGUUGAGCUGGUGGCACACACCUGUGAGUCCAGGAGUUCCAGAUGAGCCUGAGUAGCAUAGCAAGACCCAUCUUAAAGGCAAAAAAGCGGGGGAGGGGCAAGAAAAGGAAUUAAUUGUAAUCUGUAGUGUUAAUUAAUUGAUGCUCAAUAAUUUGGAAUCCAACUGGAUUGGAAAAACAAAUAUCUAUACCCAAGCUAAGCCAAGCUUCAGUGCCGAAGUGAUAGAUUAAUAGCAAGUAGUAUUUACAAGUCUGAAGCUCUAACUUUGUUGGAAGAUAUCUGUCUAUCUAGUUAUUUAUUUAUUAUUUUCUUGUUGUGUGGGAUUAAAGCAAUGGUCUCCUUCAUGCUAUUAAGUGUUCUUUGACAGGCAAAAGAAAUAAAUAUUGCAGAAAGAUUGUUAAUCUUAGUAAAUAAUAUAUUAAUAUAUAUUAAUAUAUAUAAAUAAUAUAUUAUUUAAAAUUGCCUCAGAUGACAGACCAUUUAGGACUAGAAGAAUGCACAGCCUCAAUAUCAAUACUGUACUUAGGAAACUGGAAUAUUCUGACUUAAAACCUAUGUAUAAUCUGGGCACAGAAGAGUGUGCUUGUAGUCUCAUCUACCCAGGAGGCUGAGGCAAGAGUAUUACUUGAGUCAGAUGUUCAAGGCCAGCCUGGACAAUAAAGCAGGACCCCAUCUCAAACAAACAAACUAUGUGAAGACAAAAUCUUUGAAAAUAUAAUUAUUAGGACACGGAACUAUUAGAAUCAACUAAAAAAAGAAUUUUUUUUAGUUUUUGAAAGAAUUGUAUUGUGAAAAAAUCAUGAGGCCUGUCUAUAUUUUGCAUGUGACUGUUCAACUCCUAAGGAAAGCCUGGGUUUUAUAACUUAAACCAAAUAGUUUGCAUCUACCAUAAAUUACCUCCUACCACUAUGUGCCUGUGAGGUCAUGAAUAAUACUGAAAAAUAAGAAUUCCCCUAAAGAUCAUAAAUACAUGUGGACACAUUAGAUUGUCCAAUUGGGGAAUUUAAUGCACUGCAAAGGGUAUUUACUCUUGGACAAAACUGGGACAGAGGUGAGGCAAAAGAGGAACUCACCAGAGGCACAAGUUAAAGUGAGGGAUCCAUAUGUAGAAAAUGAAAUUAAACCCCUCUCUCUAUAUAUAUGCAUAAAAUUCAACUCAAAGUGGAUCAAGGACAUAGGAAUUAGACCAGAGACCCUGCACCAAAUAGAAGAAAAAGUAGUCCCAAAUCUUCAUCAUGUUGGAUUAGGCCAUGACUUCCUUAACAAGACUCCUAAAGUGCAAGAAAUAAAAUCAAGAAUCAAGAAAUGGGAUGGAUUCAAACUAAAACUAAAAAGCUUCUUCUCAACAAAAGAAACAAUAAAUGAGGUGAAGAGAGAGUCUACAGAAUAUGAGCAACUUUUACCCCACAAACAUCAUAUAGAGCACUAAUCUCUAGGAUAUAUAAAGCACUCAAAAAACUUAACACCAAAAACAAAACAAAAUACAAACAACCCAAUCCAUAAAUGGCCUGAGGAAUUGAACAGACACUUCCCUAAAGAAAGCAUACAGUUGAUCAACAUAAACAAGAAAAAAUGUUCAACAUCUCUAGUAAUUAGAAAAAUGCAAAUCAAAACUACUUUAAGACUUUAUCUCUCUCCAGUCAGAAUGGUAGUUAUCAAGAAAUAAAGCAACAAUAAGUUUUGGCAAUGAUGUGGGGGGAAAGGCACACUCAUACAUUACUGGUGGUACCGCAAAUUGGUGGAAUCAAUCUGGAAAGCUAUAUGGAGAUUCCUUAAGAAGCUUGGAUGUAACCACCAUUUAACCCAGCUAUCUUACUCCUCAGUCUAUACCCAAAGGACUUAAAAAUAACAUACAACAUUGACGCAGCCACAUCCAUGUUUAUAACAGCACAAUUCACAAUUGCCAAACUGUGGAACCAACCUAGAUGUCCUUCAAUAGAUGAAUGGAAAAAGAAAUGGUGGUAUAUAUACACAAUGGAAUAUUACUCAGCAAUAAGAGAGAGUAAAAUUAUGUCAUUUGCAGGUAAAUGGAUGGAGUUAGAGAAUACCAUGCUAAGCAAAUUAAGCCAAUCCCAAAAAACCAAAGGCUGAAUAUUUUCUCUGAUAAGUGGAUGCCUUCCAUAAUGGGGGGUUAGGGGCAUGAGAUGAAUGAAGGAAUGUUGGAUGGAGCAAAGGCAGGAGGGAAAGGAAGGGGACAUGGGAAUAGGAAAGAUGGUGGAAUGAGACAGACAUCAUUAUCCUAGGUACAUGUAUGAUUGCAUAAAUGGCAUCAUUCUACUUUGUAAACAACCAGAGAAGUGAAAAAUUGUGCUCCAUUUGUGUACAAUGAAUUGAAGAUCAUUCUGCUUCAUCUGUAACUGAUUAGAACAAAUAAACAAAUUUUUAAAAAAUAAAUGAAACACUCAAUAAUUAAGAUAAAUAAGAGAGAAGAUGAAAGAUUAGAGGAUGGGUGCAUUUCCCAGCAGUUCCUUAGAUCAAGACUUGAAAAGCAGGAAGAUUUAUCCUUGGUGAGGUGGGUAACUCACUGAAAUUCAAUUCUGUACAGUAAAAGAAAUCAUUGAGACACAGAAAGUCAGAAACUCUGAACAUACUAUAAGAUAAAAUAUGUUAUAGAUAGCCAAAUUAGGUGGCAUGGUAGUCGUAGAUGCUAAGAGGACAGGAACAAAGGCAAGAGAGAAAAAAGUGUAGUGAAAAAAUUAGCUUGGGGAAGUUGUGGAAUAGAUAGGGAGACUGAUUUUUGUGGACCAAGUAUGAGUGGGGGAAGUUGUUGAGUGAAAAGCAACCAAAAUCACUCUGCCCCUGGAUGAAUAGUUUAGUAGGAAAUGAGUCACUAGAGCAGGGACCAUUAAUUAGUUCUCGGUAGCAGAGGCAGAAGAUAGGGAAAUCAUAAAGAAAAUUGCCACCAUAAUCCAGCAGGCACCUAUUAUGGGCCCCAGAGUGUGCCUGGGCCAGUAUGACUGAAACAGGCAAAAGAAAAUUGUGACUAAGUCAUCUAGGCUUCAGUUUUCAUGGAGAGAGAGCAAGAUCUCUUUGUUGCUGGUAUCCCAUAAGAGCUAUUGGGAAGAUGCCAAUAAUGGCCAGACAGGAGCAUAUGCACUUCAGGUCUGAACCUGAGUAAUUCACAUUCAUAGUGGUGAAUGUAAACCUUGUGAAGGUUUAGACUCUGCACCAUAAAAGUGGACUUUACAGGAGGCCUCUGAGAUCAAGACAUGGGGCAGAGAUCAGCAUCCCCCAAGCAACAAGAGAGUUAUGAAUAAAAUCUCAAAUAAUCACCAGUAGAGCUCCAAAAUUCAUCCAAGACCAGAUCCCAACUACUGGAACUUUCCAUUUAGGAUUCUGUGCCAUCCCUGCUACAGAAGUACACAAUUUGUUAGUAUUCCCCAAUCUAAACCAUGCUAUACAGGGAGAUACGAAACCAAGAGCUACUACAAUCAGAUUAGGCUCCUCUUCACAAUUGGCAGCUCAGUGAGGAACACAAAGAAGUUGAAUUUAACAAUCCUCAGCUCUUGCUUGACACAAGAGUUACAGAGCCCAAAAAUAAAUAGAAUGAAUGAAAAUAUUUCAAACAUAGUAUAUUCACACCAAUUCUUGUCUUCAUACACGUACUUUGGGUAAUAAUGAUCAUCAUAUUCCACCAUCAUUGAUAACCCCAUGCCCCCUCCCUUCCCUCCAGCCCCAUGGUCCUAUCUAGAGUUUGUCUAUUCCUCCCAUGCUCCCACUCCCUGUCCCACUAUGAAUCAGCCUCCUUAUAUCAAAGAAAACAUUUGGCAUUUUUUUUUGGGGGGGGGGAUUGGCUAACUUCACUUAGCAUUAUCUUCUCUAACUCCAACCAUUUACGUGCAAAUGCCAUGAUUUUAUUCUCUUUUAUUGCUGAGUAAUAUUCCAUUGUGUAUAUGUGCCACAUUUUAAGUCCUUGAUCCAUUUUGAGUUGAGGUUUUUGCAUGGUGAAAGACAGGAGUUUAAUAUCAUUUUGUUGAAUAUGGACUUCCAGUUUUCCCAGCAGCAUUUGUUAAAGAGGCUAUCUUUUUAUAUCUUAUUUUUAAGUCUAAUAUUGUAGUUUUGUGGGUUAGUCUCUGUGUCCUCUCUUCUGGACCAUUGGUCUACUGGUCUAUUUUGGUGCCAAUACCAUGCUGUUUUUGUUACUAUUACUCUGUAGUAUAGUUUAAAGUCUGGUAUACUGAUGCCACCUGCUUCACUCUUCUUGCUAAGGAUUUCUUCAGCUAUUCUGGGUCUCUUAUUUUUCUAGAUGAAUUUCAUUAUUGCCUUUUCUAUUUCUAUGAGGAAUGUCAUUUGAAUUUUGAUCAGAACUGCAUUAAAUCUGUAUAGUGCUUUUGGAAGUAUGGUUAUUUUGAUAAUAUUAAUUCUGCCUAUCCAAGAGCAAGGUAGAUCUUUCCAUCUUCUAACGUAUUCUUUGAUCUCUUUCUUUAGGAUUCUGUAAAUUUUCAUUAUAUAACUCUUUCACCUCUUUUGUGAACUUGGUUUCCAAGUAUUUUUCUUUUUCUGAGUAGUUUUUUCUGGGGUAGUUUUCCUUAUUUCCCUUUCUGAGGAUUUGUCACUGAUAUAAAGGAAUGCUUUUGAUUUAUGGGUGUUCAUUUUAUAUCCUGCUACUUUGCUGAAUUCAUUUCCUAGUUCUGGAAGUUUUCUGGUGGAACUUUUAGGAUCUUCCAGGUAUGGAAUCAUAUCAUCAGCAAAUGGUACCAAUUUGAGUUCUUGUUUUUCUAUGUGUAUCCCUUUAAUUUCUUUCAUC
rnacentral:lncRNA from 1 species